CUGCACAUUAUGGAAAAAGAACACCGCCAAAUUCGAGAAUGCGGCGGACGCAAAGUUUCUAAAUCAUCAGUAACGUAGCCCUACGCGUACCUGUGUUUUAAUUUCUGAACCGACGCAACAAUCGCCUUACACGUUCUCCUUUACUAGCGUUUGCUUCGAUUUUCUGCGGCCAGUUUAGCUUACCAACAGUAUGAUAUCCUUAAGUACUUCAAUGCUGCAACUUGCGGUAUCGGUCCAUUUCGAUAACGAAGAGAAAUAAAAAUGGGAUGUGGCAUUGGGAACACAAGUAACGAGCAUUUCUUGACGUUAAGGCAAAGAGACGGUCCGUCCAACCAGGAGUCGAGUAGAGACAAAUAUGGUUGUAAAAUUUGGCAUAACGUAUUCAUGUAUCUAUGAGGAGAAAAUGCAAUGUCAUCUGCACGAACUGGGACAGAAGAUGACAAGAUAUUAAACAAAAGCGGACAAAGUACUUAUCCCUGCCGUGCGCAUCUCGUCUGUUUUUAUGUACCGGAUGUACCCCCCAUCCUUGAAACAAAGGAAUUGUCUACCAGAAAGGACCUGUACCCAGGUAUCCAGUUCGAAAGAGCUCAGCUUGCUAAUUUAGAAAUUAAAUUUCUAUGUUCGAGCCAAUAACAAGCUAUUGCAAUAUCUGAAUUUACUAAUGCUGAUACGGGGGUUUCCUGAUAAUCCUGCGAGUCGAAUGCAGCUUUCUAAAUCAAUGUGAGCUAACCACAUAAACAUUGGGACCUAAAUCCUUGUUGUCUCGAGCACAGAAUACCCUGAGGAGGAGGAGGAAUAAACAUUUAUUGCGGAACCAGCAAUACCCUGAGAAGUAAAUUAAUUUAGCAGGAUAUGGAUUACAUUUUAUACUAUUUUGACUAGAUUUCGCUUGCGUUCCCCACUUCUUUUCGCGCAGAACUAGCCUGCGCAAGUUCAUUCUUUUUGUUCACGCCCUGUGGAUCUGGUGGCCAGCUGAUCUAACGACACAGCAACAACGAUAACGCCAAGAAUUUAUCCGAGGUUGAAGCAGGCCAUUUUCUUCAUUUUGGUACGUUUGAGACUGGAGUUAUGUCCAAGAAUUCACCUGGACAGGGGAGUUCCCCUUGGUGAACCUCUCUUCAAAAUGAACUACCUCUUGACCUCUUUCUCCGCAGCGGCAUGAGCAGCAUUUCCGUCGCCCCGGUUCCCUUGCAUGGGGACUAUAUCAGGUUGAACAACCUUAUUGCUAUCCAAGAACAACUACAUGCGGUGACUCUCAAACUGCCCGAGCAUCACUGACGUCCGGCAGUUCGGUCGAGGUGGGACAGUCUACAAGUAUCCAGACCAGGCGUGUGGAACGGACCUGCUGAAGUGUUCCUCGUUUGCAACCAUUCCGAUAGGUGCUCAAGGGUCUUGGCGUCACUGCAACGUCCGCAGGCCGGUUAGAGGGAGCAUCCCUUGGCGUGCAGCCGCGUCACCGUCCAGACGCAGCCCAUGUGGAGUCGAAGCAGCGUUGAGCGUUCCCUCCUGAGCGGUCGCCGACCCGGACCAGAGGAGAGAAGGCCUGCUUGCUUUUCCGUGACGUCAGCACACAGAUUGCAUUGGAGCUGUCGACCAAGCAGG